GCUGGUGCAUCCUGGGAGUCGCAGCCGCGGGGAUUGUGGGAAAUGUAGUUCGGCCACGCCGCCCUCCGCGCCUCCGCUAAUGGCUGCUUCCUGGAAGGCGCUGUCACGUGAAACCUCUUAGCCGCCGCAUUCCGAACGCCAGGAAGGGGGUGUUUCAAGUCCCGUAGAGUUACACAGAUACCUAUUCUUUGAAACCUUCAGCUCUCAAGAUCCAGCCAUCUCAAGGUCCCAACAUCAUGACCUCGGUUUCAGCACAGCUGUUCAUGGUCCUCCUUUCUCUGCUCUUG